AGCAGCCGCGGUAAUUCCAGCUCCAAUAGCGUAUAUUAAAGUUGUUGCAGUUAAAAAGCUCGUAGUUGAAUUUCGGGAUCAAUAUAUCGGUCGUGCCUUGGUACGUACUGGUAUCAUUGGUUUCUCCUUUCUGACGAACCAUGAUGUCAUUAAUUUGGUGUUAUGGGAAGUUAGGACUGUUACUUUGAAAAAUUGAGUGUUUAAAGCAGGCUUUAGCUUGAAUACAUUAGCAUGGAAUAAUGAAAUAGGACGUUCGAACCUAUUUUGUUGGUUUCUAGGAUCAACGUAAUGAUUAAUAGGGAUAGUUGGGAGCAUUAGUAUUCAAUUGUCAGAGGUGAAAUUCUUGGAUUUAUUGAA
rnacentral:rRNA from 1 species